rnacentral:rRNA from 1 species
UUCCUACGGGGCGCAGCAGUGGGGAAUAUUGGGCAAUGGGCGAAAGCCUGACCCAGCAACGCCGCGUGAAGGAAGAAGGCUUUCGGGUUGUAAACUUCUUUUGACAGGGAAGAGCAGAAGACGGUACCUGUCGAAUAAGCCACGGCUAACUACGUGCCAGCAGCCGCGGUAAUACGUAGGUGGCAAGCGUUGUCCGGAUUUACUGGGUGUAAAGGGAGCGUAGACGGCGAUGCAAGUCUGAAGUGAAAGGCGGGGGCCCAACCCCCGGACUGCUUUGGAAACUGUAUGGCUUGAGUGCAGGAGGG